UACGUAGGGCGCAAGCGUUGUCCGGAAUUAUUGGGCGUAAAGAGCUCGUAGGCGGCCUGUUGCGUCCGCUGUGAAAUCCCGGGGCUCAACCCCGGGCCUGCAGUGGAUACGGGCUGGCUAGAGGCAGGCAGGGGAGAACGGAAUUCCUGGUGUAGCGGUGAAAUGCGCAGAUAUCAGGAGGAACACCGGUGGCGAAGGCGGUUCUCUGGGCCUGCACUGACGCUGAGGAGCGAAAGCGUGGGGAGCGAACAGG
rnacentral:rRNA from 1 species